UGAAGUGUGCUGUGAGUCCCACAGGAGACAGGCUGUACAUCACCAGCAGCUGGCGCAACGAGCUUCUCACCCUGGCCAGGGAUGGCACACUCCUGGCUACAUACACAGACCCAGCACUAGUGGGCCCACGUGGUCUACAUGUGACCCCUGCAGGCCAGGUGCUGGUCUGUGGAUACCUGCCCUACUCUGUACUACAGGUGGGCUGGGAGGGAGAGAGUAAGCUGGCUACGCUGGAUACUCAGGAGGAUGGAGUGUGGUGUCCAAUGUCAGUCUGCUACAGCAGCACUACAUCCUCCAUCAUUGUGGGACAGAAGUGGGACGACACCAUCCUGGUGUUAAGAGUGGAAUAGUGUGUACAUUCGCUGCUGAGUCAGGACAAGGAUGCUGAGGUUGUGGUGGACAAGGAUGACCUGAAUACACAGAAGGAGAGCCCCGGUUUUGAUAUAGAGUUGGUACGGCAACGGCACCAGCCAGGCCUGCAGAAGCCUCAAGUCAAGCACGACCACUCCCCUGACCCCUAGCUUCUCCCAUUUGACAUCCAGCUUCAAAGGGUCAGCAUCGUUGAACAAAUUCCUCCUAUAGAAAAUUUUGAGCACAAAGAGUUUUCACACAUGGUUCUCAACAACCACAAUUUUCGUGUCGAGUGAUCCGCACUUGAGCCUGAUUGGUUUGUUAGACCCGAGUGCCGGAGAUGGGACAACCGUUACAGACACAAGGCCUUAUUGCAGCAGUUAUGGCAACAUGUACGGUCAGUUCUCAAUGUUGGACUUCACAACUAAUAUCAUGAUAAAUACAAAGUUGGAUAACUCGUUCCAUUCUUUUUGGGACAAACAGUACAACGGAAAGUAACAAGAGAAAAUCAAGGAAUAUUUGUAGAGUUUUAGUCAGAAGCGUAUGCUUACCACUGGGAUACUCCUGGACAGUCGUGACUUUACGGACAGUCCCGGUUUGUCCUCACAGGUGUCCAAACUGUCCAAAGAGAACGCACUUUUGACGCAGUUGCUAACAAAGAAAGGCACCACCGACUUUGUUGUGAACACUCAGAGCUUCCAUUGCCAUGCCUCUGGCGGGAAGUUCGACCAACAGCUGAAACAAGGUGCUAAAGGUGAACCCAUCAGGGUUUGUAACUUCCCACUCCAAUCCUAAACAGCCUGGCAUUGAGUCGGCGCUUGAGAAGGCGUUGAAAAAUGACAGCAGUUUUGUUGUGUGGUCCAAUAUGCUCUUUGAUUCUCAACCCGAUGUUAGGUAGAACUCAAACUGGGCUCUUAGCAAUAUCAGCGAGGCUAGAAUGUCAUCUCUGCAUCUUGAGCUUCAGAAAACAUUAUAAGCAAACAAGACAAACAUCAUGAAUGUUUAGGCAAUCCCAAUCCACUUAUACAACAACUCGCUCAGGAAAUUCAGCACGCCACCUUUUAACAUCUUCUCACAAGGCGCUAAAUCAACACUUCAAACAGUUGAGCCUUGGUGAGUUCAACUUUCAUCCCGACGAGUCACUCGAGGUGAAACAAUCUGAUCCACAGAUAGAGCAGGCGCUGAGUGACUCGCCUCUUAAAGUGACUGACCUCCAUAUAUCGCUCUCCAAUAAUAUGAACCUGAUGCCUGAGGAGCAGCGUUGUCCUACAUUCCCGGUUCAGGGUGGUGACUUUGGCGUCAAGACUCACACAAUCUCUGGUUAUGGCAGCAGCAGCAACAAAAACAGGAAGUAUUUCAGCUGCGCUCUGUGAAAACAGGGCUUAAUGCAUGUGCCUCAAGUGUUUUACCCACAAAAGCGUGUUAAGUCUGCCCAAGCUAAUUUGUGACCACACUUUCCGAAUAUACCUUAAAACAAAGAAUUCCAUAAAAGCUGAAAGUGUCGUGGCUGAUUAGUUUGUACAGGCAAAUCUGGAACAACUCUUUACGCUAUAAAUGCAUUUAGCCCAGUUUUUAAUGAGUUUAGAGUUGCACAUUUAGUUCACGUUACAUCAGCUUUUUGCUGACCUUUCUGUAGAAAAGUUCCUA